rnacentral:rRNA from 1 species
AAACGACUCUCGGCAACGGAUAUCUCGGCUCUCGCAUCGAUGAAGAACGUAGCGAAAUGCGAUACUUGGUGUGAAUUGCAGAAUCCCGUGAACCAUCGAGUCUUUGAACGCAAGUUGCGCCCGAAGCCAUUCGGCCUGAGGGCACGUCUGCCUGGGCGUCACG